GACGAACGCUGGCGGCGUGCCUAAUACAUGCGAGUAGAACGCUGAAGGAGGAGCUUGCUCUUCUGGAUGAGUUGCGAACGGGUGAGUAACGCGUAGGUAACCUGCCUGGUAGCGGGGGAUAACUAUUGGAAACGAUAGCUAAUACCGCAUAACAGUAGAUGUUGCAUGACAUUUGCUUAAAAGGUGCAAUUGCAUCACUACCAGAUGGACCUGCGUUGUAUUAGCUAGUUGGGGGGGUAACGGCUCACCAAGGCGACGAUACAUAGCCGACCUGAGAGGGUGAUCGGCCACACUGGGACUGAGACACGGCCCAGACUCCUACGGGAGGCAGCAGUAGGGAAUCUUCGGCAAUGGACGGAAGUCUGACCGAGCAACGCCGCGUGAGUGAAGAAGGUUUUCGGAUCGUAAAGCUCUGUUGUAAGAGAAGAACGAGUGUGAGAGUGGAAAGUUCACACUGUGACGGUAUCUUACCAGAAAGGGACGGCUAACUACGUG
rnacentral:rRNA from 1 species